rnacentral:rRNA from 1 species
UACGGAGGGUGCGAGCGUUGUCCGGAAUCACUGGGCGUAAAGGGCGCGUAGGCGGCCGCGUAAGUCACUUGUGAAAUCCCGGGGCUCAACUCCGGGGCUGCAGGUGAGACUGCGUGGCUAGAGCACGGUAGAGGCGAGUGGAAUUCCCGGUGUAGCGGUGGAAUGCGUAGAUAUCGGGAAGAACACCAGUGGCGAAGGCGGCUCGCUGGGCCGUUGCUGACGCUGAGGCGCGAAAGCGUGGGGAGCAAACAGG